GAAGAAAGUAAGAGCAAGAGAACCAAAGGAGGCACAAACAGCAACACCAAUUGGGAAGAAGCUACCAAGAUCCUACCAUUUGAAGCUCAAAUGUGGUUUGUGUAGGGAGGAAAGACAUAACAAGAAAACUUGUCCUUAAAAAAAGGAAAAACUAGCAAUCAUGUAUUCAAAACUGUGUUUAUGUUCAUUUUCAAUCCUAAAAUUAUGUAGUCGUUUUCAUUGUUGAAAUAUGCAAAUUCUAUGUAGGGACAACCAUCAAAUGGGCAUUUAGAGAAUCCAAAUGCAACUGAGAAUGUAAAUUUGGAGGUUAGAAAACUGCUAGUGAGUGUCUUGAGCUCUUGAUUGUCUUUCUUGUUCAUGGUUGUUCAUUUAUUGUAUGCAUAACAUGUGCUUGUUAUUGGCUUUGUAUGUAGGUUAGACGAAUUCUAACAUCUCAACCAUCAAAUGCAAAGAAAAAGAGGAUUGGAGCAUAAACAGGAUAAGAGGAGUUUAUGAAUCCAUGCAUGAACUUCUUUUGUGUUUUUGUGAAUUAGGACAAUGACGAUGUAGGUUAGACGAAUUCUAACAUCCCAACCAUCAAAUGCAAAGAAAAAGAGGAUUGGA
rnacentral:lncRNA from 1 species